rnacentral:miRNA from 1 species
UCUGGCUGUGCUGUAAUGCAG